GGAGAGGUGUCCGAGUGGUUUAAGGAGCGCGAUUGGAAAUCGCGUGUGGAGCUUAAAUCUCCACCGGGGGUUCGAAUCCCCCUCUCUCCGCCA
rnacentral:tRNA from 1 species